GUGGGGAAUCUUAGACAAUGGGGGAAACCCUGAUCUAGCCAUGCCGCGUGAGCGAUGAAGGCCUUAGGGUUGUAAAGCUCUUUCAGCUGGGAAGAUAAUGACUGUACCAGCAGAAGAAGCCCCGGCUAACUCCGUGCCAGCAGCCGCGGUAAUACGGAGGGGGCUAGCGUUGUUCGGAAUUACUGGGCGUAAAGCGCACGUAGGCGGACCGGAAAGUCAGAGGUGAAAUCCCAGGGCUCAACCUUGGAACUGCCUUCAAAACUCCCAGUCUUGAGUUCGAGAGAGGUGAGUGGAAUUCCGAGUGUAGAGGUGAAAUUCGUAGAUAUUCGGAGGAACACCAGUGGCGAAGGCGGCUCACUGGCUCGAUACUGACGCUGAGGUGCGAAAGCGUGGGGAGCAAACAGGAUUAGAUACCCUAGUAGUCC
rnacentral:rRNA from 1 species